rnacentral:rRNA from 1 species
UUGUUGGUGAGGUAACGGCUCACCAAGGCGACGACGGGUAGCCGGCCUGAGAGGGCGACCGGCCACACUGGGACUGAGACACGGCCCAGACUCCUACGGGAGGCAGCAGUGGGGAAUAUUGCACAAUGGGCGCAAGCCUGAUGCAGCGACGCCGCGUGAGGGAUGACGGCCUUCGGGUUGUAAACCUCUUUUGACAGGGACGAAGCGCAAGUGACGGUACCUGUAGAAGAAGCACCGGCCAACUACGUGCCAGCAGCCGCGGUAAUACGUAGGGUGCGAGCGUUGUCCGGAAUUACUGGGCGUAAAGAGCUUGUAGGCGGUCUGUCGCGUCGAUUGUGAAAACUUGCAGCUCAACUGCAAGCUUGCAGUCGAUACGGGCAGACUAGAGUACUGCAGGGGAGACUGGAAUUCCUGGUGUAGCGGUGAAAUGCGCAGAUAUCAGGAGGAACACCGGUGGCGAAGGCGGGUCUCUGGGCAGUAACUGACGCUGAGAAGCGAAAGAGUGGGUAGCGAACAGGAUUAGAUACCCUGGUAGUCCACGCCGUAAACGGUGGGCACUAGGUGUGGGUUUCCUUCCACGGGAUCCGUGCCGUAGCUAACGCAUUAAGUGCCCCGCCUGGGGAGUACGGCCGCAAGGCUAAAACUCAAAGGAAUUGACGGGGGCCCGCACAAGCGGCGGAGCAUGUGGAUUAAUUCGAUGCAACGCGAAGAACCUUACCUGGGUUUGACAUACACCGGAAAGCCAUAGAGAUAUGGCCCCCCUUGUGGUCGGUGUACAGGUGGUGCAUGGCGGUCGUCAGCUCGUGUCGUGAGAUGUUGGGUUAAGUCCCGCAACGAGCGCAACCCUUAUCUUAUGUUGCCAGCGCGUAAUGGCGGGGACUCGUGAGAGACUGCCGGGGUCAACUCGGAGGAAGGUGGGGACGACGUCAAGUCAUCAUGCCCCUUAUGUCCAGGGCUUCACACAUGGUACAAUGGCCGGUACAGAGGGGUGCGAUACCGUGAGGUGGA